AACCAUUCUCACCUGCGGCUAGACCUGCGGAAGGAUCAUUACCGAGUUUACAACUCCCAAACCCCUGUGAACAUACCUAUACGUUGCCUCGGCGGAUCAGCCCGCGCCCUGUAAAAAGGGACGGCCCGCCCGAGGACCCUAAACUCUGUUUUUAGUGGAACUUCUGAGUAAAACAAACAAAUAAAUCAAAACUUUCAACAAUGGAUCU
rnacentral:misc_RNA from 1 species